rnacentral:lncRNA from 1 species
UGGAGCUGUAGGCUAGCCUCUGGGCUAGGAGAAGAGCUCUUCUUUUAGGGCUGCCUCCAGUUCUUCUGCGCUGCAGGUACUUCCUUUCCUUUCUUCUUCCCUGACUAAAAGAGAAACCAUCCAUGUCUUCAGGCCUUGCUGUCUUUUUAACCCUUCUUAAAGCAUCCUUUUGAAAUGUUCUUUUGGAGGUGUUACGUGGAAGCCUCGGUGCCCUGUUCCCUGCCUUACAGGGCUGUAAGAGGAGCGCUGGGCUGCGCACUGUAACGGGAAGCUGUAAGAGUCCUCCCUGCAACAGGCAGGGGUCUAGGAGCAAACUUUUCUCAGGCCAUGCUUCUGAUGUUAGUGUUGGCCAAUGCUGCCUGAAGGCGGUGACCAGUCUUGCGCUGUGGUUGUUUAGGUGGCUGUCUUGAGUGCUCCUGAAGGGGAUGUGAUAUUUUGGCAUCCCAGUCUGGGGUUAGUAAAUCUGCAGGAAGUACCUUCUGUGCUCUGUACGUGAGGGCUUGUGUUUUCGCACUGCUUUUCAUGUGAACAUGCAUUAUUUUGAAAGGAGUUUAUUCUUUGUACUUGAUUUCUGGUAUGAGAAUAGCAGUUGUUAGUUUUAGAAAUAAAUCAAUCUGAGCCAAGAUUCAUGUGAGAGAAAUAUGUCUGUAAGUUGAGAAAGGAGGCAGAUUGAAAUGACAUUUAUUAACGGGGAACACACUCUGUGCAUAUUUGGACAUCUCCCCUUUUACUGGCUUUAAUGCAGGGAGUGAACGCUUCUGCUUUGUGUCCAGGCUGCAGGUUGGGGGAGAAAGCAAAACUGCACACGUUCUGAAAGGAGGAGCUAUAACACAGGUUUCCACUCCAGAAAAAAAGGAAAUGUUUCCCUCCAAAGCACCAUGCUUACAAAUUCUGGGUGAGCCUAAACCUGCGUGGUUUCAUCCUGGAUGCUUCUCAAACAGAAUGCCUCAUUCCAGAGCGUGCAUCUUAUAGCACUAUAAGUAAAACAGCGUAAAUGUCACGCUCGUUCUGUCCGAGGAGCAUAGUUUUGUUCCCGUGCAAUGGGAGCAGGUGGUGGGAGGUUGUUUUGAUGAGGUUAAAAAGCUCCUCCCCUCCUUCCCCAAGCAGCAGCCUAAUCUGCGUCAGCAGUAAUUGUGUGCCUUGCACUGCUUUCAGUGAGGAACAUAUUCAAAUGAGGCACCUUAGCAAUCUCUGUGUUAGUGCAUAUGAUGGUGCUGUAAUCUUUUAUGUUGUAAAGUGGGUAAAAACCAUCCAGUUUCUUCUCUGCUGGACCUCAAAGCAGGGUGUUGUUUAUACCCUCCCAUUAUCUGUACCCUCUCUUCUCUGAAUGUGGAUUUAAAGAAGCAAGCACCUGUCUUCUCUUGCCACUGCUUUUUUUUAAAAGCCAAACUUUCCAUGCCGUUUUAAUCAUACGUUAAGAAGAUCCGUAAUGUAACGCUGGCUUACAGUGAUGCCGAAUUCUACAAUCUGGGCAAUUUUGCCAACAAGAUUUAAUGCACUUUAACUGAAGAAAAAACUGAGCCUAACUGCAAAUCUGUUUCUUAUGGUGCUGAAAUAUCCCUUCCGACUGCACUGAGAUAACCACAGGAAAGGGCUUUUACAGGCAAAAGUCACCUUUGAUUAUUGCACUUAGCAGUCCCCGUGGACUUGAAUUUUGGUACGUACAUAUUUUUGAAAAUUCUUUGAGCAUGCUGAUAAAAUAUGGUGCUAAUUAGAAUGAAGAAAUAAUCAUACUUACAGAAUGAAAUAAUGAGUAGUUGGAAUGCAUAAUGGUGAACUUGCAUGUCUUUUAGGGAGGUAUUAAUCAAACCAUUGCUAAAGUAAAAGCUGAAGUCUAUUUGACUGUUUUUGUGUACUUCACGUGUUGAUUGUGCUUGUAAUAGAGACAUUUUGCAGCUGGAUUUUUUGUUGGUAAAAGGCACUGUUAAAUAAUUAAAAACAUUCUUUGCUAUUUUCUGAUGAAUUAAUUGAAAUAAUUCUUAACGUCUAUGUUAGUUACUUAUUAGACAUGCUACACCAUUAAUAUUUUACAGCAUCUUAACAUGAUGCUGGUGGUAGUGAAAUCUCCAUUUCAUUUUAAGGAGAGAAAAAAACCCACAUCCGUCAGCAAGCAAGCUCAUUCUUCUGAGUUCUAAUACACUCCUGUUUGCAUACAGAAUAUGUGUGUGUAUGUCCCUGUGUGGCUUUAUUUCUUCUUUUUGUUCAUAAAUCAUCCACAUAAUAAUGGGAUGAUAAAACGUCAUAAUUAUACUUAAGUACUAGCUGUUCUGAAUCUAGUUUUGUAAUUGUCCAACAUCCGUGUGGUUAGGAGGAAGCAUUAUUUUCCU